GAGAAACCAGAACAAGAUGAUCUUGGAUGUCCUUGGAUGUGUGGGGUGUCCUUGGGGACUUUUGGAAGAUGUCCCAAACAUAUGAGAUGUAAAAUUGAUUCCCCACUUUUCACUGAUUGCUCUUCUCUGGCUUCAUCUUGCCGGUGCAGUCAACAAUAUUCUGCACACAACAAGGAGACAAGAAUAGCAUAAAUUAUAAAGAUACUUUAAAGGUAAUUUAUCUUUC
rnacentral:lncRNA from 1 species